rnacentral:lncRNA from 1 species
UAUGCUUGCUCUCCCUGAUAGUUGUUAGAUGCUAUAUGCUCUAAAAGUGAAAUUCCAUAUGUAAGGCGGGUUCUGGAUGGAACAUGUAUAUCAAGUCUUAAUUUGGGAGAGUUGGACACUUUCCUUAAAACAAGUUAUUGUUUGUUACCAUAUAAUUUUAUUAAAUUUGUAAGUUAGGAAGCCUAAGAGAAGUCUUGUUUUUAGUUUUUUAAUCUAAAACCAAUGACCUUAAGAAAAAAAAGUACUACUUUUCUAACUACAGCAGGAAAGAUAAAGAUUUGUGUUUUAAAAUUAAAUUUAUUAUAAUUUGUUUUUCUUCAAGUACCCUAGUGAUUUAGGUUUUCUGCUUAGCCUUUUUCAUUAAAAUGCAGAACUCUGGCAUCUUUUAGUCCUUUUAGUCCAUAAUUACUAAAACUUCAGAGAUCCAUAGUUUUGCAAGUAGUUAAAAACAACUUUGUAUCUCCUUAGAUGCAGCUGCAUAAUUGAAGUCUCUGUUCUUCUUCUUUGAAUUUCUCCUUUAUCUUGCCCCAUUUUAGAAGGACAAUCCUGGAAUGGCUUUGUCUUCAUCUUCAGUAAUUAAAAAACAACAACCUAUUUGUACCCCAAACUAAGCUUUUAGUGACUCUUGAGCCCAUAUCUUGGUGGGAACCCCCUUUGUACACCCUUUUCCAGUGGACUUUUUUGCCAACAGGCUUUCCUUUGUCCAUGGAUCUAGAUUAACAGGCAGUGGUGCUGCUGGUGGAACUUGGGAGGGUAGAGGUGAGGCCUGUGGAAGCUUUACAGAGAAACAGUCGUUGCUUUUUAGGCGGCCAGUGAAGAGCUGUGCAGUGACUUCUCUCUGUUUCCAUCAGCAGGGGAGAAAACACCUCCAUCAGAUUGCAGGUGUUUUGAAUUUUUUUUUCAAGUAUAUUGAUAAUACUUCAGGUUCUUGAACCAGAAGAUAAGAGACAAUAUAUUUCUCUCUUGAAAGGCACAUAAAGAAUUCUCUGGGUACCGAAUGUCAAGCGAUGUGCAUGUAAAUUCUUACAGAGGAAACCAAAGCUCUCACUGAGAACUCUUUCUGGAUUCGUUUAUUUUAUUUUUCUAUCUCCUCUCAAAAUAUAAAAUACAGCCUCAUAUUUGAGCAAGAGUCACACUGCCUCUUUACACUCUACAUAGUUUCCUACCAGCAUCCUCUUGCCUCAGCCUAGAACCUACCCUAUGAGGGUGUCCUGCAUCAGUCAUCAAAUUCUGGGUCUCUAGUGUUUGCCCAGUGUCUAAAAUCAUCUCUUUUUUAGGUAAAUUUAAGUCAUCCUUUGUUCUGAAUAUAUGACUUGAAAAAAAUAGUAAUCUGAAGUUGUGUUUCCUAGCUACUGAGGUAUAAACUGUUGUCUGGUAUAUUCAUUGCUUUCAUAUUUAAAGUGUUUUUUCAUUAGUAUAAGCAAAUUUAUUUCUGUAUUUUUGCCUUUAAGUCCUUAGUAUUCUUUCUCAUCUCUCUUUGGUAGCUACAUAAAGUUACUUUGAGCACGGGCCCACUGAACUUUUCCACGGGAGAUGAUCCAUCUCUCCUAGAGGCGUUUUCUUAACUGCAAGGUGAACGGAGACUAUCAGUUAAAGCUUUAAGUGGCGCAUGCCUGUUGCUGGCCCACCCUUGAACUUUGUGUUUCAGGUUUAGAUGGCUGCUGAGAUUUACUGAGGGGGCAAAGGAGAUAUAGUAGAUACUGCAGUGUAUUUAGGUGAUAAGAAUUUUAUACAUAGGCAUUUUUUUAAAGUAUUUGAAGACCACCAGCCGUUUUCUUGGUUUCUCUUUUCAAAUUAAUCUAGUUGAUGAACACCCAGGCAGCCUCAUUUGGAAGUUGUCACCUGUUCACAAGCUCUGAUCAGAAAGGAAUUGCUUAUCAAACAGGUCUGGAAAGAUCUAACCUUGCUUGAAGGCAGAGGUCUCUCUUCUGUGGUGCAUCACCUCCCAGAGUCAUCUGUCCAGAGCUGUAUGGUGAGAAUUUCUCUGGUCUUUCUGAAUUGGGGCAGAAGUUCAUCUGUAAGCUGAGCAUCCCGGCGUGCCAUUUUGUAGACUCGGCAUCGAGGUGUCCGGGGCCUGAAGCAGAUGGUCACACAGGGUUCCACUCAGCUGUACGUCACUCUUAUACCUAUUAUAUAGGCUUGGCCUUUUCUCAGCCUUCAGCUUUGUACGUGACCCGUUGUGGUUCGUGGGAACCAACGGGAGGGAGGGCGGCUCUAACAGAUGUUGAGGGUGAAUCUGUCACCUGCACUGUAGAGGAUGUGGCUGCUCCAGGUGACUCUUGGGUUAGGUGUGCUUGUUACUGAACAAAAUCCUUUUCAUCCUAAGCUUGAGUCUGCAACCAAAACGAUAGGAAUGGGACGGCUCUAUUUGGCUGUGCUUUCUUAAAACUGUAGUUUGAGUAAAUUAUCGACAUGGAUGAUGCUAGCCUGUACAAGCCUGGCAUCACGUUCUGCCUG